GGUGCAUGUAACGGCCGCAACGGGUGCAGCCAGCCUGAAGGUGGGAGAAGUGGUUCUUAGAUAUUUGCAUCGGCAAAACACCUCAGAAUACUAGUUACAGUUAGUUUUGCGUCGCAAGUGUUGUAACCUACUGGUGUACGUACGUACACAUAAAUGCUGAGUUGGACAUAGUUCACGAAAACUAUACAGCAAAAAUAUAGUGAACCUAAUUGUAGAUGAUACAUGAUUUCAUGGCUUGUGUACGAUUUGCAAUAUACACUUGUAAAAUUUUCAUGACUACCGGCAUAGUACGUACACCGAUUGAGCUUGGAGAUGGUUGAAGAGAUAAGUAGCAAAUCUGUAAAAACCGCUAAAAUAGUGCCAAAAUUCAAACAAACAGGUGAAACUAACAUCAUGAAGACGGUCGAAGACAAACCCCUUAUCUGGUGGCUGAUUUUUAUAUUAAUAUUGAUUGCAACUGUUACUACUCGAUUUUACAAAGUAACAGAGCCUGAUCAUGUAUGCUGGGAUGAAACUCAUUUCGGUAAAAUGGGCAGUUGGUACAUAAACAGGACUUUCUUCUUUGAUGUGCAUCCACCACUAGGAAAAAUGCUUAUUGGUUUAUCCGGGUAUCUAACUGGCUACAAUGGUUCAUUUCCAUUUGAGAAACCUGGUGACAAGUAUGAAGAUACAAAAUAUAUAGGAAUGAGAGUAUUCUGCACAAUGUUGGGUGCAACUAUUGUCCCAUUAGCAUUCCUUACUGUUUGGGAAUUGACGCAGUCUUUGCCUUCAUCUGUUUAUGCUGCUACUUUUAUUCUAUGUGAUGUUGGUCUGCUUACACUGAAUCAAUACAUUCUUCUGGAUCCAAUUCUAUUGUGUUUUAUGAUGUGUGCAUUAUGGGGAAUGUCCCGUAUCGGCUCAUUGCAGCAUCAACCAUUCACAUUCUCUUGGUGGGGUUGGAUGUCAUUUACUGGCAUGGCGCUUGCAUGUUCCAUAAGUGUUAAAUUUGUUGGUCUCUUUAUUGUCCUGUUGGUUGGACUCUACACGUUGCAUGAAUUGUGGAGAGAAUUAGGCGACCUUUCAAAGCCUGUCAUGAAUGCAGUUAAACAUCUGUUAGCUAGAACCCUUUGUCUCAUAGUGUUACCAGUAAUUGUGUACGUGCUGUUUUUUUACAUCCACCUGGUUGUUUUAAAUAAAAGUGGCAGUGGAGAUGGUUUCUAUAGUUCAGGAUUUCAGUCACAGCUGGAAGGAAAUUCUUUGCACAAUGCAACAAUGCCUCGGCAUUUGGCAUACGGUGCUAUCAUAACACUUAAAAACCAUCGCACCGGAGGAGGUUAUUUGCAUUCACAUUGGCAUUUGUAUCCAGAAGGAAUGGGAGCUCGUCAACAACAGAUAACUACGUAUUCACACAAAGACGACAAUAACCGUUGGUUUGUGAAGAAAUUCGAUACGAAUGUCUUACCACCCGAUAAUGUACUAGUAAAACACGGUGACUUAAUCCGACUAGAGCAUAUAGUGACUCGCCGAAAUUUACACUCACACAAAGAAGUAGCCCCCAUUUCAAAAAAACAUUACCAGGUUACUGGAUAUGGAGAGAAUGGUACUGGAGAUGCAAAUGACGUUUGGAAAGUAUUGAUCGUAAAUGGAAAAGAAGAUGAUAUUGUAGAAACAGUAACAAGCAAGCUGAAAUUCGUUCAUUAUCUUCAUCACUGCGCACUUACGAGUAGUGGAAAAACAUUACCCAAAUGGGCAUAUAGUCAACAGGAAGUUUCUUGCAAUCCGAACAUGCGAGAUAAAAACUCUAUGUGGAAUAUUGAGGAUAACAUUUUUACCAAAUUGCCAAAUGUUAGUUUCCAAGUAUACGCACCGGGUUUUCUGGAAAGAUUUCUUGAAUCACACGCAGUUAUGUUGCAAGGUAAUUCAGAUUUGAAGCCCAAGGAGGGAGAAGUUACCUCAAGACCAUGGCAAUGGCCUAUCAACUAUAGGACACACGCUACAGAGAAAAAGGGUCAAUUCUUUUCGGGGAGUAAAAAUCGUAUUUAUCUACUCGGAAAUCCGAUUAUAUGGUGGGGAAACAUAGCAUUUUUAAUUUUCUUCUCUCUCGCAUAUCUAUUCGCCUCUGUGCAAGAACAGCGAGGAUAUAUGCAGGAUCCUGAUAUUUUAUAUCAAAGAAGGAGAACACUCGAGGCUGGCAUGUGGAUGUUUACUGGAUGGCUCUUACAUUACGUUCCAUUUUGGGCUAUGGGACGUAUACUCUACUUCCAUCAUUACUUCCCUGCUUUAUUGUUCAGCUGCAUGCUGACCGGAAUAACAUUAAACUAUAUUUUGGAAACUAUACCCACGUUCGUUCCUGGCAUGAUUGGGCAUACUAUUUAUCAUUCCACAGUGGGGCUAGUAUUGUCUGGAACAGUAUAUAGGUUCAAUAGAUGGUAGCAGACCAUACCGGUAGCCUUGAAUCGGUCAGCAUCUACCUCGAUUUGUGUAUGUGUGAUGUGCACCAUGCUUAUUCUUACUUGAGCGAGGAUUGAUGUGUUGAAACUGUGUGUAUAGAAAAGCACGCACACACACACAUUGGUAAUGUACUUAUCUUUUACUUGUUUUCUCCAUUGGCUUACGGCAUGGACGGACCAUCAGCCUCCCAUCCUGAAAGUCCAUUACAUCCACUCCGCUGGAUGGAUUCCUGGGAGUUUUAGUUUAUGCUAUAAGUAUUCACAUAGCAACCAGACUUUCACUCAGUCGAGGUCUCGUAAAGGCUGAUAUUAUACAGUGUUAAGAUCAUUAUAUUUUUUAUGUACGAAUCUUUCUUACUAAAUAUUUUAUCAUUUUUAUAUGUACGUAUAAUAUGUUGAAGAAAUGAAGAAAUGUAAUAUUAUUAAUAUUGCAAAAUAAGUUGUAGAAUUUCUCUAAACAAGUCUGCCAAUUCUAGACCUCGGAUCCGGCUUCACCCGCUCAAAUCUUUUCGCAAUUUUUUGAGCUAAAAGUCAUCAUCAAAAAACAGUUUAUCAAAUUUUUUCAGAUUUUUUUUACUCAUAUUUUUCGAAGUUAUUUUAUGGGGUAUUCCAUAUAAUUUUAUAGUUUUUGUUUUAUUACUUUUUUUUUGUAUUUUUUUUGCCAUAUUAAAAAAAAAAUCCGAAAACAAAUUUUCCGUGCAUAAAAAUCUCAGCUUAUAAAAAAAAAAGAAAUUUUUUAUUGUUUAUGCUUGUCAAAAGCUCUUAACAUGGAGCUUAAAAUCUAAAAAGCUGUUUCUUGCUGUUGCCCAAAUUUGGAAUUUCUUAAAAGUAUUUCUUUCAAAAUGCUGAGAAAAUUCUACAUAAUACACGUAAUUUUCAAGGUGGGAUCUCGAUAAACACACGAGAAAUGAAUGAAUUAACGAAAAUUGAAAAUCUAAAUCAUCUUAUGCAUUCAAUUAUUUGUUUCCCCCUUUUUUUUUCUUACUACUUUCUCUAUCUACUUACCAUCUUACUAUGGGUACGUUCCAAAACUAGCUGGUAACGCAACAAAAAUCCCUAGGACAGAGGCAUAGCUACUUCCGAACUCUGCAGUGUAAAACAGACAAAAGAUAAUUGACAGCACUGGGAGUUGGUUUUGGAACGCACCCAUAGAAUGAGUGAAGGAAGUGAGGAAAAAAAGAGAGUGGGAAACGGAAAAGAAAGAAAAGAUUACAAAAACAUCAUUAUAAAUAGGAUAAAUUGAAUUGAAAAUUUUCUUCAAUUUUUGUUCAGUAGUUCAUUUCUCGUUGUUUAUCGGAAUCCCUCCUUGAAAAUUACGUGCAUCCUGUAAAAUUUUCUCAGUUUUUGGAAAAGAAUGUUUUUCAAAAUUUGGGCAACCGUAAAAAACAACCUUUUAAUUUUGAAGCUCAAUUUUGAGAGCUUUUUAUAAGCAUCAACGAAAAAAAAAAUAUUUUUUGAAAAGACAAGAUUAUUUUACACAAAAAAGCCAUUUUCUGAAAAAAAUUUUAUAGUGGCAAAAGACAGCAAAAAAAAAAAAUUGAAACAAAAAUUAUAAAACUAAAUACAAUAUCCCAUACAAUAACUUCGAAAAUAAAAGAGAAAGAAAUCUGAAAAAAUUUGGGAUGCUGUUUUUCUACGAGGACUUUGAGCUCAAAAUCUUCCCAACAAUCGGAAAAGAAUAGAAACGGAACGAUUAGCAGAAUUAUGAAUCCCAUUUCUUUAAGUUUCCGAAUUAGGCAUGAGUUAUUCCAAUCAGACACUGUUCGUUUUAAUCUGUUUAUUCGUUUCUAUUCGAUUUUAUCUGUUCUUUCCUAUCCCGUCAUAUUCGCGUCAAUGCCACCUCUAAUAGCUUGUUCGUUUCAAUUAUUUAUUUACAAUAAGGGAUGGCAAUUAUCAAUCCGAUUCAAUUCUUUCUAUCUGAAUUAAUUCUUUUCAAAGAAUACGAAACAUCCGUUUGGAUAAAGAAAUCGGAAUAGAUCGUAUUGAAAUUCUCAAUCCGUUUCUAUUCUUUUCUGAUUGUUGGGUUGCGAGAUCUGAGCGGGUGAGGCCAGAUCUGACGUCUAGAAUUCAUAGACUUGUUCAUGUAUAAAAAGUUAAGAAUAACCACGAUUUACAAUACCUAUUCGUUUGCAUAGGUUUACCAUUAUACGAAAUUCGAAAUUUUCGAGCACAUGUCUCUGAACUCAACGCUGUGUAUUCUACUUACCGCUAGCUGUAAGCGCAGAUACCCUGGGAAUAUUAAAUUACUGCAUAAAAAUUUUAAAAUUGUAUCAUAAAUAUUUCUGCGGAUUCUCA
rnacentral:misc_RNA from 1 species